ACGAUGCUUUAAUUCCGUUCAUAGAAAAGAGAUUUUCGUAUUAAGAACUUUGAUAGUUAAUUAGCUAAUAGUUAGACUGUAUUAAUUCUAUCGGACGUUUUGUACAAGUAUUAUAUCUCUCAGAUCUCACGCUCAGCGUGGAAGGCAGUCAUUUUAGCCACUAGCCUGUUUUACAGCGGAUGUUUUUCCCGCGUUAACAGAGAUUUAAUCCACUUGUACCACGUGACUCGCCGAAUAUGGAAUAAUCGUUAACUGCUUUUUUAGUUAUCUGCUUUUAUGACAGUGGACAUGACACGUAUUAAAUUAGAAAUAUUUCGGAUUGAGCCGCGCAAUUUUUCUCAAAACUCAUAGAAAGUAUUUUUAGCGCGCACGACACGUUUUUGUGCAGCGUGCGGGACUAGAAUAUUUUUAACUUAACAUUUUUUCUAGAGUUUAUCUCCUAAUUUAACUCGGAUAGUCGGAUAUCUAUUUUUUAACAAAGAAAGUAUAGGGAGCUAUGACUUUAAGAUUGUAAAAGUCAUGAGUUAAAUUAUUAGUAAGUACUUUUUCUUUUUUAAAGUAGGGGGAAUGUUAGAAUCUUAAUUCUAUUUGUAGCUUGUUUUUGUACUUACAUAUUACUAACCCUGUAUCUCACUUUAGCAAAGGUUUAGUUCCAGUGAUUGUAUAUACAGUGUUGGGGUAAAGGGACUCCAGAAGGCAGACAAGGCUCGACUCCAGACUCUAGUUGAAGUAACAGAAGAGAGAGGAGUGUCCAGUGUUUAGUUGACUCCAGACUCUAGCGAAGCAGAAGGGAGAGGAGUGACGUUGUCGACUCCAGACUCUAGCGUAGCAGAAGGGAGAGGAGUGACGUUGUUUUAGUGAUCCCACAGAUUCCAGUCGACAGAUACUAUCUGUGUUCUGUGACGUGGAAAGAGUGGGUUUUGUUUUAUAGUUAUCAGUUCCAGUUUUACUUGAAGUCCUCAUCAUUCAGAAGUCCCUCAUAUAGUAAGAAGAACAUCAUCAUCAGGAGUAGUAGUUUUAAUUUAAUAGUAGUUUAAUCUAAUAGUAAAAAAGACAUUGUUUAGUUUAGUAUUGAAAUGUGUUUUAACUAUUAGUCAGAGCAGAGUAGUGUGAGUUACUGAGUCACACCAUAUCAAUCAUUCACUAUUUAAGAGAGUACAUUGUAGAGUAACAAGGUUACUUUUGACACAAGAUUUGUAUAACC